rnacentral:rRNA from 1 species
UACGUAGGGUGCGAGCGUUAAUCGGAAUUACUGGGCGUAAAGCGUGCGCAGGCGGUUCGUUGUGUCGGCGGUGAAAGCCCAGGGCUUAACCUGGGAAUGGCCGUUGAAACUGGCGAACUGGAGUGUGGCAGAGGGGGGUGGAAUUCCGCGUGUAGCAGUGAAAUGCGUAGAUAUGCGGAGGAACACCGAUGGCGAAGGCAAUCCCCUGGGCCUGCACUGACGCUCAUGCACGAAAGCGUGGGGAGCAAACAGG